UACGAAGGGGGGCUAGCGUUGUUCGGAAUCACUGGGCGUAAAGCGCACGUAGGCGGAUCUUUAAGUCAGGGGUGAAAUCCCGAGGCUCAACCUCGGAACUGCCUUUGAUACUGGGGGAUCUCGAGUCCGGGAGAGGUGAGUGGAACUGCGAGUGUAGAGGUGAAAUUCGUAGAUAUUCGCAAGAACACCAGUGGCGAAGGCGGCUCACUGGCCCGGUACUGACGCUGAGGUGCGAAAGCGUGGGGAGCAAACAGG
rnacentral:rRNA from 1 species